rnacentral:rRNA from 1 species
CACGAAGUUAGCCGUCCCUUCCUCUUUUGAUACUAUCAACCCUGUCCGCUGUUCACGGCCAGGUCUUACUCUCAAAUGACAGGAGUUUACAAUCCGAAGACCUUCAUCCUCCACGCGGCGUUGCACCAUCAGGGUUGCCCCCAUUGUGAAUUAUUCUCGACUGCUGCCACCCGUAGGUGUCUGGACCGUGUCUCAGUUCCAGUGUGCCUGAUCGUCCUCUCAGACCAGGUACCCGUCGUAGCCUUGGUAAGCCGUUACCUCACCAACAAGCUGAUAGGGCGCGAACCAAUCCUAUAGCGACAGCCUUGCGGCCACCUUUACUCUUGCGAGACUAUGGGGUAUUAAUCCAAGUUUCCCUGGGCUAUCCCCCUCUAUAGGGCAUGUAAUUCACGUGUUACUCACCCGUGCGCCACUAAACCAUCCGUAUAUUGCUAUAAAAAUGAUUCCGUGCGACUUGCAUGUCUUAAACACGCCGCCAGCGUUCGUUCUGAGCCAGGAUCAAACU